rnacentral:rRNA from 1 species
GACGAACGCUGGCGGCGUGCCUAACACAUGCAAGUCGAACGGGAGCAAGUGCUUCGGUAUUUGCUUUAGUGGCGAACGGGUGAGUAACGCGUGAAUAACCUGCCUUUCAGUGGGGGACAACAGUCGGAAACGACUGCUAAUACCGCAUGACGCUUCUUGGGGGCAUCCCUGAGAAGUCAAAGCUUUACCGCUUAACGAUGGGGAUGCGUCUGAUUAGGUUGUUGGCGGGGCAACGGCCCACCAAGCCUAUGAUCAGUAGGGGUUCUGAGAGGAAGGUCCCCCACAUUGGAACUGAGACACGGUCCAA